UCGAGUUGUGUUCAUCGAUAACCAAAACAGCGGCUUCCUGCUCUCCCCUGCAAACGCAACAGAGUCCUGCUUUGAGCUCCCCAACUUUUCACCCACCAUCACAGGAGUGCUCUGGGACAACUGGCAUGCAGGCAGAGGGGUGUUUGUAGCCUAUGAUGAUGACCAAGUCUACACCUAUGCCCUGCAUGAAACCACCAUCUAUGGCCCACAGGUGGUGUUAGUAGGG